GAUUUGUAACAUUUAUGCUAAAGUCCUUAAACAGAUUAAAGUUAAAAAUGUGAUCGUCUGACUGUGACGUCUCCUCAGAGUAACGUUUUUAAUGCAUUCGAUGCCAUCAGUCACUUUGCUUUAUUUUUGUCACUUUAGUUUAUACUCAAUUCAAGUCACUUUAAAAUGCGUUUGCAAUUUCUCUAACAUAAAUCAUAUCCACAGUGCAAUUGCUUCUUUUUUCAUCUUUUCUUUUUUUGUAUUUUUUAUCUCCACACAUUUACUUUGCUCUCUGUGUAAAUAAGUAUAUUGUCUAAUUUUUCUACCUGUAAUGCUGCCGUAACCCUAAAAUUUCCCCACAGUGGGACGAAUAAAGGACUAUCUUAUCUUUUCUGCUUGUCUGAGUUUUUCCAUAAAUGUGGAAACAAAACUUUAAACUGAUUUUCUUCAGCUUCAGUUAUGAUCCGUCUUUGUUUAAAUCUGUAAAAACAGUCGAUCAAAUGAAUCAGAAUCAGUCUGGAAAUGCAGGCGGUCAGAAGUUCCCAUGACGAUGGAAACAAAGAGAAACUCUUCAGUCGUUUUGGUGGAUUACUCCUCAGAUCUGGCAACGCUCUGAUCUGAGCAAACAUGGCCGUCCUAAUGAGGAUCAGCUGUGAUCCUAAUCCUCUCCAGUCAACAGGGUCUGUUUAUACAGUCAAAGUCUCCAUCACUCAGGAAGUACUGAAGCGACGAUGCAUUAAGUCUCGUUCGGAUGAAGACUGCAGGAGUCCCGCCCACAGGUACCGACUCUCAGCAACAAAGAGAAACACGAAGUUCUGCAGCAAAUAUUGAAGCAGGAGGAAGUGGAACUCUGGAAAAGAACCUAAGAAACCUCCUGACUGAAUCAUCUUCAACAGGAAGGAGCUGAAGUCUGAUUUGGAGAUGAAGACUCGCGGAGGACGACUCGGUGCUCGAGUCCUGACCCCAAACAGGAAGUGGAACUCUUCAGAUCAGCUGAGAGGAUGUGGACCCGGAUCAACAGAGACGCUGGUUAAGCGUCCGGCCAAUCCUCCGAGGAACCAAACCAGAGACAGAAGAGGUCGUCACAUCAGAGUCCCCAGAUAGAAAGAUAACCCCCAACAGUCAGAAACAGGACUGUCGGCCUGUUGGGCCUGUUCUCGUCUGUGUCGUGGAUGGAAGACGGACGGCUGUCAUCAAGAAGAUAUUUUCAACAUUUCUCAGACCUCUGAUGAGACGGAGGUCGACCAGAAUCAAUCAGAGUCAUCAGCUGUCUGUGGGAGGGGCGGAGUCACUGUUGCAGCAUCAGCUGGUUCUUCAAAAUAAAACAUGCGCCACACAGGAAAUAAUGUGUGAUCCUUCAGAGACUUCAGAAGAAGAUCUCGGCUUUACAGAUGAUCGUUGAGAAGCUACAGGAAGUUUGUUUAAAUAAGAACAUUCUCUGAAUUUGAUCAUUUUUAUGGACUGAAGAAACAUCAGGCCUUCAGUGUUAGCGAACGUCUUCAGCCGUUGAUUCCAGUGAAGCAGAGAGCGUCGGUCCUGCUCUGAUAUGCAUCACGGCACAAUAAUGAAGUGUUUAUGCUGACUCAGCUGAUUCACGCUGACGUUUGUAUUUUGCUUGAACUUCAGUCUGUCGUCUUUGGAUGUGUUGAUCUACCACCAGUUUCCCUUGGGAUCAAUAAAGGUUAUUGUCUGGUCUAAA